GUAUUAUUAUUAUUAUUAUUAUUAUUUACUAUUAUCAUUAUUAUUGUUGUUAUCAUAACUAUCAAACUUAACAACCUACUCUUUCUUAUCUUACAGUAGAUUGCAAUGGAAGCACAGUGUGAUUUCACUGAGGUGUGUAUAAAUUCUUAAAUUCUCAUCACCAGUGGACAUAAGUUUUUUUGGGAUCCACAUCCGAUUGUGUGAUUUUCUUUUUCAAUGGAAAACAUGCAGCAAAUUAGGCGAUGGUGGUGCCUAGUUCUCCUGCAGAACUUUCCAAUGCCGUAAGUCUUGAACAAUAUAAAAACGUUUGCAUCCUUGCCAGACUGACCUGAAUAUAUUUUCAUAUUGAAUGUACUGUAUGUCUUUCACUAACUAAGUUCUGAAGUAGAGAGAUGGAAAGAUUGAAAAAGGUGGCGGAAACAAAACACACUACAGGUAGGAGGUGUCAUAUGAUGAGUGGUAUAGUCUUAAACCAAUGUUUAAAGACCCCCCCCUUCCUCUCCAAUAUAUUUCAGGAUGAUGUAGAAGACGUCCCCCAAGAAGUCACAGCAUGUCACAUCAGCAUCCAGCUCUGCAGGAUCAGACAAUAGAAAUCUGUGAACUGGGAUGCAGACGUUCGUCUAAGGGACACCCUAGAAGCAGCAAGGUGGUGCGAACACCAAACAUUUAAAGGCACCAUUUCCCUCCUUAGAGUAAUUGGGAUGGACAGGGAAGACCAUAUUACAACCCUUAAAGAACUUUGUAUGAUGGCCUGGAUGAAGAGGAAAAUAUUAUCCUCAAGGAACCAUUCAUGUUCUCGUUCCAGUUACAAGGAGAGAUGUUCUAUGUUGAGGCAGUUGACUACAAGAAAAUUACUGUCUCUGCCUCUUUUGAGGAGCAAGAGUGAAGCCAUUUUUGAGGAGUGGUCAAACCUUGUUUUUGUCUGCUGUGUUAUUUGUUUCAAUUGUUUAAUUGUGUUAUUUUGUUUAGUAAAGAUGAUGUAGAAGUCA